UCGCACAGAGGCCAAUUUCCACUGCACCUCUGCCUCUGAGAAAUGGCUGGGAGUGCGCUUUGUGGGGGAACCCGGAGCUGGGGUGGGGAUGGAGGCUUGCGUGGAGAGCGUUGUUCUCAGAACCCUCUGGGUCGCAACCCCAGCAGUCGCAGAUCUUGCAUCCCUGCCUGGCUUCCCUGCCCUCUGUGCCCCUGGGUUGGAAAGGGGCAACCCAGGGACUCUGUGGAAAGGGCGCACCUGGUGAAAGGAGCUGCUGUGCUUGCAGAGGUGUGCAGACCCAGGCCACCGGUGGCCUUUCCAGCACCGCCCGGCUCCCAGGCACCUGGCUGCUACUGCCACACUCCUACCCCUACCCAGGCUCACCCUGCUCCUACCGCGACCUGUUUCGACCCUUGCCAGCCGGCGCCCCGCUCCCGCCUGCGUCCUGCACCCGCUGCGCCCUGCUCCUACCCCUACUCCACACACGCCCCACUCCUACCGGUGCCCUGCUCCUAGCUAAGCCCAGGCCUUGCCCGGCUCCCACCCGCCGCCUUGCGCUGCCACUUCCCGCUCCUCCAGAGCAGCCUGCACCGCCUGGCCCAAUAGUGAUCCGAGCAGAGCGCGCAGCGGCUGAGUGCUCCGGCGUCCCUGCCCCGAGGUGACAUUCCCGCGUCUGCCCCACUGGGGCAGACCUGGAGCGUCCAGGCUUAGCACCGCACCCCGCCACCGAAACCUGCCGGCCAGAGCCACUGUCCCUCCAGCCGUCGCCCCAGCACGCACUGGGGAUGGCAAAAGCGACAUCCGGUGCUGCCGCAGACGCAGAAUGUUGCCUCGAAGAAGAAGGGAUUCCUUCAGAAUUUGAGCAAAGACAGUUAAAGGAAAUAUAACCCCACUCCCGACCAUUUUAUCAUCUUAGCACCGCCCGUCUGCCACCUGAAGAAUUCCCAAUACACUGGAAGGAGUUCCAUCCUAAAAAUUUCUGGCAACGCAUCAAGGCUUGUCACUCCAUGAUAUCAGCUGUGCAGAAGCAUGGUACGUGCCAUAGGAUCACCCCUUUGCUCAUGGAAAAUUGUAAGAAAGGGGACACAUUCCUCCCUGCUCUUGCUGGAGAGUCACACGAAUUUGAGCUUCCUGCUGGAAAUUAGGUUUGGGUGGUUUGGUGUAAAAAAAAUGGAGAACUUAGUUAACAGCUGUGGCCAUGCACUCUAGUUCCCAGAAGCAGUGAUGUCAUUUAAAUAGGAACGGGGGUGCAUCAGGGUGGGGAGGCAUGGAGGAGAGAGUCUAUGUGGAGUGAUGGGGAAUGUCUUUGGAAGUGUGUGUGCACUCUAAAAACCGUGGUCCCCUGUGCAAAGCACGACCCAAGGAUCAGUGUUCUAGAAACCAAAUUCCAUCCCCGCUGCACACUCGACAUCAGUCAACACUUUCAUGCUUCAUCACAGCUAUACCUGAAGGGUAGUUUAAUAUCCCCAGUCCUCAGAUUGGAGAGUGUGGAGAAAUGAACUCUCCGUUUCCUGAAUGGAAGAGGAAAAUGUGAACUCAGGAAUGGGUGAAAGGUUGAUGUGAUGGGCUGCUACUCUGCAGUCCUUGCGUGGCCCUGAUGUAACGCAUCACCACACCAGGGAAUGCCAGCAUCUGUGUGUACAUGUGGAAGGAUGACAGCCUAGAGAGGUCCCAAAUGCUAGCCAUGAGUACAGGAUGUUGUCAGUGAUGAUGAAAGGCAAGGUAGCAGUACGGUGGACUUUGGGGUGGUCAUUAAUGUGAAACACACAUGGGGAGUCACAGGCUUUUGGCUGCAGUGGUGGGGUCAUUUCUCAGCUCCUGUUCAAAAGCAGAGAAUAAUCAGGGACAUGUCCUAUUGUAUUUAAAAAUAUGAUUGGACCCAGUGGGGAGGCUCAUGCCUGUAGUCCCAGCACUUUGGGAGGUUGAGGCAGGAGGAUCACUUGAGCCCAGGAGUUUAAGAUCAGCCUGGGCAACAUGGUAAAACCACAUCUUUACAAAAAGUAGAAAAAUUAGUCAGGUGUGGUGACGUGCUCCUGCAGUCCCAGUUCCUCAGGAGGCUGAGGCUGGAGGAUUGCUUUGGCCGGACAGGUUGAGUCUUCACUGAGCCAUGAUUGUGCCACUGCACUCCAUCUGGGAAACAGAGUGAGAUCCUGUCACAAAAAAAAAAACAAAACAAACCAAAAGAAAAAUCAUGAUGACCACAGCCUUAGAAAUGCUCCAGCUUAGUAACACAGACAACAAGAGACAGGGUGUUAGCUUGGUGCCCACCUUCCCUCUGGAAUCUCUAACAGCUGGGUUAGAGAGGGUCAGCACCCCCACGUGCUGCCCCCAUGACAGGCUGUCCCAGCGUCGAAGCGAGUGUGAGUGUGAGCAGUAAAGGACUCCGCAGACACACACACAUGGUGUAUGGAAAACAGAGUGGAAGGACAGAUAGCACGUGCUAAAUAGGGGUCAUCUUUAAAUGGGAGGAAAACAGAUUUUCAAAGAUUUGAUUCAUUGUCCUAAAAACAAAUGGUUAGUGAAUAAAGAGAAUAUUUUGGUUAGAAUUAAAUAGUCUCUUUAAAGAAAGGUUGCUUUUUCUUUUGAGACAGAGUUUUGCUAUUGUUACCCAGACUGGAGUGCAAUGGCACGAUCUCGGCUCACUGCAACCUCCGCCUUCUGGGUUCAAGCAAUUCUCCUGCCUCAGCCUCCCAAGUAGCUGGGAGUACAGGCAUGCACCAUCAUGCCCAGCUAAUUUCUGUAUUUUUAGUAGAGACGGGGUUUCACCUUGUUGACCAGGAUGGUCUCAAUCUCUUGACCUCAUGAUCCACUCACCUCGGCCUCCCAAAGUGCUGGGAUUAUAGGCAUGAGCCACCCCGCCCAGCCAAAAGGUUGCUUUUUAACAAUUUUAUUUUUCUCUCUUGUUCGAGUUAUAGAAAUGUUGCUUUUUAUCAAGUAGAAAACCUCUAAGAGGGAUGAUAUUCACAGCAGCACCACAGGUGGAUUCUAGAGAUGAAAUGACUUUGGAAGGACCCAGGAAGGGAGGGCAAGUGAGCUCAGGUCAGAUUAGGAGGCAGGAGCCCUGAAAGGCUGCAGGGACACACAGCCUGCCCUGGGUGCUGUGCUCUGUUCAAGAUGGGCUAUUUCAUGUUGAUGAGGCAGUCAGGGCUAGAAAAUCUUUCUUCCCUGCUCCUCCCCACACCUGCUAACAGUCACUCUGUGUCCUCCCAGCUAACUGGAUUGCAUCAUUAAAGGGUCACCUCGCUGACAGAACAUCAAGUGGGGAAGCCUCAUCAUCUGUUAAGGUCAGGCCACCUGGCUUUGUCUGACAAAAAGUUACUUUCUUAACUUUAUCUAAUUGAAUUAAAAUAAUAUAUGAUUAUAUGAUUAUAGCUGACUUAUACAGUGUCUUUGGUGGGGACAAUUUCAAGUGAGAGUGUUCCUCACUGAGGCUCAAUGUUAGACAGGAGGAGAAAAUGGCAGCAUCAGCCACGCACUGAGUGGCUGUGACCUUUUUCCUUAGACACUUGAUUAUCUCCUUGGAACAAAGUCACUUAAUUGCCAAGCGGCAUGGACUUAGAGGAAACACCCUCCAAGAAAAACUUGUGUCGUUAGCAUGAGUGGGUUUGUCCUGUUCUUCUUUUGGGUUCCUUUGAGUUGAACACCUUUUGCCAUCUGAUUCCUAGUGUCAACAACUGAGGAAAAGACCUGUGCACACAGGACACAGCAUGGGCUGGUGCCCAGGCAAUAUGUUUUCUGUCAUUACAGGAGGCCAGAAAAGGGGUACGUAUGGGGGAAUCCUCCCGUGUGGAUGAAUAAUCCAGAUGAUGAGGAACGUGUGUCUCGCUGGCUUUCCUGUACACAGGCAGCCGGAGUUGAGCUUCCUGUUGUGAAUGAGGACCUAGGCCGUGAUGGGAGAAGUGGCUGUUCCAGAUAAGGAUCGAUGGGCACAUUCUGCGGUCCCUGAGAGCAGCAGCGUUCUCUGUCUGUGGGGUGGGGUUGUGUGCACGGGAGUGGUGUGUGUCUGUGUGAAUGUGUGUAGUGUGACCCUGACUGUGCCUGGCUGUGUGUGGGUUUCCCUAGGUACAUGUCUCUCCCUUAUUAGUGUCCACAUUCUUAGUGAAAAAUGCCUCACUCUUGUAGCCUGACGAGCAUAGGUAAUUAUUAGUAAAAAUGUCAGCUUACGACGUGCGUAGUUUAUGCAUGCAAAGGACACUUCAGUUACCCAAAGGAAAUCCUGUCCACACCUAAGCAAAUGUUCAUUGGGUGCUAAUGGAACAAACCUGUCUCAGGAUCCUAACUAAUUCAUUAUUUUUUCAUUGGGAAUCUGCUUCUAAACCUCAUUUUCAAUAAAUGUCACCUGGUAACAAGCCUUCCUGUUCCUCCUGGCAUUGGAGUGGUCAUGACACCUCACUGUGGCCACUUCCCUCCUUCACAAGCCUUUUCUACUAAAGCCUUCAGAAUUGAUCCUCCAUGACCCAUUUUCAGCAUGGAGAGUGGGGUGGGGCUCCUUCCUGUGCAGGGAGACCCUGAGGCAGCCCCAUGCUAUGACCAGUUUUGGUAGGAGACUGAGAAAAGAGGAGCCUGAACGCAGGGUUGGGGUAAAAUCACCCGACUCUCUUCAUUGCGGCCUCAUAUUGACCAUCAGCUAAUGUGGCCCAGAAUAGAUAAUGCCGGGGCAAUGUAGAGGCCCAGCCUCCAGCACUCAGCCUAGUCAUGGUUUCUGUGUGCUUGGCUCAGGGAACACAGCAAGAGGACAAGGAGACCAAGGGCUUUGCCCGAGGGCCUGAGAGGCAGGGUGAGCCCCUGCCUUCCUCCCAACAGGAUGUGGGAGGCUCAUGCAUGAGGUGGGAAAGACAGCAGAGGCUCCAUGGUGCUCCUGUUGCACCCACUGUUGACAAACGUUCUUCUUUGCCACAGAGCCCUGUGAAAAAAUAAGUCAAGGUGGUUUAUUUCAGUCCACAUGAAUAUAAAAUGAGCCAAAUUAUGGUUUGAGCUCUUUUGGAUUGUGCAUUUGGUAGAAACUUAUUGUAUGCAAUUUGCAUUGCUGUGUAGAUGACAGUAGUUUCCUACUUUUCAAUAUAAUAAGGCCGUGUGAUUUUAAAAUGUUUCUUGUUUCCCUUGAAUGUAUGUCCUCAUAACAAAAUUCCCCUACCUAGGUGGCCUUCUACUGUGUGCAAUUAAAGGUACAAAUCAGUGUUACCAACAUUGAGGUUCUAAAAAUUCAUGGCGAGCUGCACAGUGCGCUCCAUGAGAGAGCAGGGGAUAGCCUUGGCCUGGGCCUCAAAAAGAACUUGAUUUAGAGGAGUAGGAAGAAGACAUGAAGACAUCCAUGCCAUGGAGGAAGCCAAGGUUGAAAGGCCGGGAGAGAUAGUUCAAUGUCAUGCCCUGGGUGCAGCCAGGAUGUUCGGGCCCCAUCUACGGGGAAUGAGCAGAGCUUGGACUUCAGGGCUGGCGUGAGCACUGCCCGGCCACUGUUCUAUGAGCCUGGAGAGAGGAGCCGCUGUUUCAUUUGUCUUCUUCACCUUUCUGUGAUGAUGGAAAUAACACAAUCAGAAAUUAGUGAGAGGCGAAGAACAGGAGGGAGUUCCCAAGAUAUCUGACUUAGAUGAGGGGAUAUGAUGAGCAGGGGUGGACAUCAGGGUCGGGUCAGACAUAGCACCAUCCCCAGGCCUGCUAUCCCUGUGACUGGGACAGAGAACAGCAUUUACUUUUCCCCAGCUUCUGGAAGUUGCCUGACAGCUAGUCCUUGUGUAGAUGCUGUUGGCCAAGGUUGGUCUAUCCGAGAAUCCCAUUUAACCAAAGGAAGCCUCACAGCCUCUGGCCAGGGCAGCUGCAUCACACUAGUUGCAGCAGAGGUGGGAGGGGAGCCAGUUCCAGUACAGGGUGAGCUCAGCAAAGGGAGGGGCUUCCCCAGAGCCCAGGUGUUCCUUGCACAUCUCCCUUCUGACCCAUAAGACAUCACUUUGCCGGUUUCUCUGAGACAGGCUUGGAAUCAUCUGUCUCACAGUCUGUGACCUGCCAUAAUGGGUGGAAGGAUUCUGGCCCUGGCUGGUCACUGUGAAGGCAGGGGCCCUGUCCUUCUUCUUCCUUCUCAUCCCAGAGCUUAGCCCUGGGCAGCCCAUCUUGGGGGCCCCAGUGAUGUUCUAGUGCACACAGCCCUGUGCUGAGCAAGCACGAGUGUGAAAAGGCUUCCUGGUCACCCUCUGCAGUCUGCUGAGUCCCACACGAAUGCAGGUUCCUGUGUGGGUUCUGAUUCAGGGUCAGGGAGAAGUGCGUGGGCUCCCCUCCGUGUUUGCUGCUGUUGUCCCGUCUGCUCCUGAAGUCUGCAACUAAGGAUUAAAAUAAUAAAUAUUGUGAAUAGCUCACCAUCAUGGCUUAAAGUCCAAUAAAAUGGAUGUUAACUGCAGUAGGAGCAUAGGUUUAUUUAGGAAAGUUAAGUGAUAUAGUAACCUUUUUAUAAAAAAGAGGAUACUUACCAGGCCUCUUUCUGUGCAGAGACCCUGUCCUGGAGUUAUAACAUGCACUUGUGUGCUGCCUCCGUGAACACUGCCUACUUCAUAGGGAUGAAGGUGGCUUAGCCAGAGACCCGAGGCUCUGUCCCCCAGGGCUCUCCUGAUGGUGUCCUUUGCCUUCCUUCACCACCAAGGAGGGUGGCCCAGUGGCAGCUCAGCCCCUGCUCUUACCCCACCUCCUUUGCACAUGCCAGCCCUGUGUCCUCAGCACCCAGGGCUGCCAGAGGGCCUUCAGCAGCUCCCACGGCUGACAGUGACUCUGUGUUUCCUAGAUUUCAAAAAGGAAGUGGCAGGAAUGUUUGGUGUGAUGAGCCCAGAAGCUGCCAUAGCUCUUUAUUGGGUAAAGUCUUUAUUCUUUGUCUGAGAUGGGAAUUUUAUUUCUCUUGGUUUCUUUCCACUUCAUUUGAAUUAUGACACGCAAAUCUCACCAUGGAAAUUAUAGACGAAUUGCAGAAUUUCUUGGUGGGCAAAUGUAAGUAAGAGUCCAUUACCAACGAAGAACUGGUUCAAGACGGCACCCACAGAUGACAGCUUUAGUGACAAACUGCAUGGCAGAGCAUUUUCCUCAUGGGAAAUGCAUAUUUUUAAAAAAUCAUGGUGACUCUGCAACUAAAAUCGUUUUGAAAAUCUUCAUGAAACUUUUGUACCUUUCCACAAGUGUCCUUUAGGCUUUAUUUUCUGGCCAUGGCCUCAAGCACUGUUUCCUGUCUGAGUGUUUAAUGUCAUCAUGUAAACAAAAGACCUGUGCACACAGGACACAGCAUGGUCUGAUGCUCACAGUGUUUUCCUUUCUGCAGAGGAACGCAGCUUCAGAAAGUGACCUGAACUCAGGUACUCUGGGUUCAUUCCUUUGCUAAGGAAAUAUCUUAGUGUUGAGAAACUGACACUUUUCUCCCUGCUUUGGCUGGAGAGCCACCCUAGUAUGAGAUUCCUGCUGGAAAUGAGGUUUGGACAAUUUGGUGUAAGAAAAAUGAAAAGUUUAGUCAACACCUGUGGCCAUCCACUCUAGUUCCCAGAAGCAGUGAUGUCAUUUAAAUAGGAACAGGGGUGCAUCAGGGUGGGGAGGCAUGGAGGAGAGAGUCUGUGCGGAGUGAUGGGGAAUGUCUAUGGGAGUGUGUGUGUGAAUUUCUCUAGAAAGGCUGUUCCCCUGUUCAAAGCACAACAUUAGAAUGAAUGUUCUAGAAACAAACGUCCAUCCCCACUGGACACAUCACAUUAGUCAACCCUCAUACUUUGCCAUAGCUGUACAGGGAGGGGAGUUGAACAUGCUGAGUUCUGAGAUGGGAGAGGGUGGAGAGAUGAAUUACCCAGGCUGUCAAUUUCCUGAAUGAAAUAGGCAAAGUGAUCUCAGGAAUGGGUGGUGAAGAGUGGAAGGAAGGGCUGAAACUCUGCAUUAAUCAGACAGCUCUGUUGGAAGUUCUCACCACACCAGGAAGUUUGAGCACGUGUGUGUGCAUAUAAAAAUAGAGUAUAGCCUUAAAAAAUGGUUAGUGAGUAAAUAGAAUAUUUUUAUUACAAUUCAGUCUUCUUUUUAAAGAAAGGCUGCUUGCUAUUUUGUAGAAAACCUCUAAAAGGGAUGAUACUCACAGAAGCACCAGAGGUGUGUUCUUGGAGGAAAUAAGCUUGGAAGGACUCAGGAAGAAGGGACAGGUGAGUUCAGGUCAGAUGAGAAGGCAGGAGCCUGAAGAGCCUGCAGGGACACACAGCCUGCCCUGGGUGCUGUGCCCUGUUUGAGAUGGACUAUUUCACAUUGAUGAGGUGACCUGGGGCUAGAAAACCUCUCUUAACUGCUCCUCCACUGCACCUGCUGACAGUCACUAUGUGUCUUUUUACUUCCCACAGAAUGCAACCUGGUGGAAAAGUUCUCGUACCAAUCCUCAGUUGAGGACGAGCCACCACAGGGGAAGGCAGAGGAACCCUCCAAGGAAAAAGGUGUGUAUUCUGGGAGCGCUCCUCCGCUCAGGAAAGAUCUUGAGUGUGGCAACAGGUGGCACUUACUCUCCUGCUUUUGCUGGGGGGCCGCUUUGGUUUGAGCUUCCUGACAGAAAGGAGAUAGGGGCAGUUUGGUUUAAAAAACGCUGUCCAUCCAGUAAAGAACCGUGACCAUCCCCUCGAGUCCCUGGAGGCAGAAUUGCCAUUUAGAUGGAAUAGGGUGGUGUGCCUCAGGGAGAUGAGGUAUGGAGGAGACAGCCGUGUGCAGUGAUUGGGAAUGUCUUUGGGAGUGUAUGCAUGUUUUCCCAGAAAAUUCAGAAAAACUGUCUAAAACAUUGAAUCGCUACUGCACAUUUCACCUAAAUUAAUCCAUUCAUCCUCCACCAUGGCUGUACCUGAAGGUAAAUGUUAUAUCCUUACUCCUCAGAUAGAGAUGGUGCAGAGAUGGAUUUCCCAGGCUCUCAAUCUCCCAAACGCAAGAGGCAAAUGUGAACUCAGGAACAGGGGCGGCAGGGGGGGAGGAUUGAUGCCGUGGGUUACUAUUGUGCAUUCACCAGGCGGCCCUGGUAGAACUCGUCGUUAUGCCAGGCAGUUCUGGCAUCUGUUUGUGCAUGUGGAAGGAUAAGAGUCCUGAGAGGUCCCAAACACUGUCUGUCAUUUUAGGGAAGUCUCAAGGGCUGCCUGACGCAGGUUAUCAGUAGGUACAUGUUAUGCUGGACUUUUCUAUGUGCAUUUAUUAAUGUGAAACACAGAGAAGCGAGCUCACAGGUGGUUGGUGGUAGUGGUGGCAUCAUUCCUCAGCUCAUGGUCUGAAGCAGAAAAAUAAUCAGGGACAUACUCUAUUGUGUUCAAUAAGCCGUUUUUCACAAGCAUUCGACAUGCUCAGGUGUAGAGGUGUGGUUUGUUCUUUCUGCAUGUUAAUGAGAAAUGGAAGGAGUUUUGUUUCCAUGGGCGUCGUGUGUGCUCUGCUCAUCCCCAUAAUUCCUUCCCUUGUGAGCAAGAUGACCUUUUCCAGAAGGCCAGAUCUCUCCUGCCUGUGCCACAGCAAACACCAAGGCCCUGGGUUUUGUGUGUGUGUGCGGGGGGAAGCGCGUAGUGUCCUUUGUGAAUGGAGAACAAGAGAUGAGUGUGUGGGUGUGGCAUUGAGUACUGUAUGGGGAGUUAGGUGGGACACAGCCCCUCACAGGUGCUCUGUGACCCUGGACACAAAGUCCUUCAUGCAUGUGCCAGGAAGUGGCAGGAGCCCACCCUCUCCCUCUGCACUCUGGGGACCUGCAGCAGCACCUUCCUGUCCAGCCCUCAGCAUCUGCUCCUGGUCACAGGGAACUCCCUGGGUCUCCUGAAGUAGAGAAUCCUCCUCUGGGAUUACUCAGUGUGCCCCCAUCCUAGAGACCCAAGGGGGGAUCCCAUGCUGGAGCACGGCUCUGGCCUCCACUUCUCACCCAGUCCCAAAUCCUUGAGCUACAAAUGGAAGCUGAAUUGGUUUGGAGAAUUCAGUGUCCAGCUGUCACCGAGGCCCUCUGUGGCCAGCAGGAAUCCUAGGGUGUGUGUGUGAAGUGGCUGUGUGUUGCUGCAGGCUCACACCCUCCUUAUAACCUGGUUCCUGGAAUCCACUGGGCCCAGGACAGAGCCGCUGGGCAGCUGGCACCAUGGUCACUUGUCUUGUCACACCCUCUGCUCUGGCCUGACAGCCUUGUCCUGCACCCCAUGCUGCAGUCAGGCCCAGCUUGUUCCCUGUAUCAGGGCUGCCAGGUGCCCUCCUGCCCAGUCCUCCCACAGCUCACACAAAACCUGGCAGGGCCCGUUCAUUCACAUGCUGAGAAUCACAGCCUCGCUUGAGGAUUAAGGCUGUGGGACAAGGGGCUUUCCCUAGAGUACUGUUACAGUGUUUCUAAGCUUUCAGAAGCUUAUGGGAUUCUUGUGAGGGUUGAGUAUUUUCCAGGUCCCUAAGGUCAUCCCAGGCAUACAACAGUCACUCAAUCUGUGACAUCGGUUGUCACCCCGUCCCACAGGCCCCAAUUCAGUCCCAGGCCUGUGGCAGGUGCUGCCCACCUAGGGUUUAUGGAGGGCCUGGCAGUGCAGCCCUGCCCUUCCCUCCUGUGUUUUUUGUUGGAGAGCAGCGGGAUGGGUGAUCAACAGGGAGAAAAGACAUGGGAUUCAUCAGAAGAGCAGAGACAGGCCCUAAAGGAGGAGGAGGGAGGGAAUCACAUACUGUGAUCACAUACUGUCCUGGAGAUGGUGGUUGCCUCUUGGAGGAACUGGAUGACAUGGCCUUGGCCUUCCCUGCCUGGCACAGUAACAGGAUGUGAGGGCUGGGAAAGUGUGUGGGAAGACAGAGGCUCCUCCCUUGCUGUAGGAAGUGAUCCAGGCUGCAGAGAAGUCUCGAGAUGAGCACACUGGAGCUGUGGGGUUGGCUCCGCAGCCUCAGGACAGCAGGGCCUGAGUGCCUCCUUGACUCUCACUCUCUCCUUUCCUUCCCAUGGUUGCCCCAUAAUCACUGCUGCUCCCAACAUUCUAAAGCUGCUGGAGCAGAUAUGGAAGAGGACAAAAGGGCAGACAACCAUCAGCAUGUAAUUAUCUCCUUCCUCCCCUCUCUCACCCUCUGACUCAUGAACUCCUCUAGCUCUGGCCCUCUCCCUCUUUCCCUCUGUUAUCCUCCUGAGGGACCUGGUCUCAUCGUGGCCAUCAACGCUCUGGGUCUUCAGGGCCUGUAAAGUCCCUCUUCAGCCCUCCUGCCCACUGCCUUGGCAUUGCCCUGACUCCUGGCCCCAGGCUGCAGCGCUGAAUCUUGUUGAGCAACUCCACAGGGUCCAGGCAGGAAACCGGGCUGGGGUCAGAAGAUCUUGGCCCCACCCUACUGGAGGGGUUCCCAGUGACAUCUGGGUCUGCUCUGGGGACCACCCCCCAAAGCUGCACUGGGGACUCUGGACAUGCACAGUUGUUUUUCUCCUCUCAGAUGUCAAAAAGUCCUCUCCAUGCACCUGUGGAAAACACAGUAGAGACAAAGCCUGAACAGGCAGGAGAAAUGUGAGUGUGCAGGGGCGGCAUGACCAGGGGGAAGCAGACAGUGCCUGUGUCCCCAUGUCUGCCCCACUCUCUUGCUAUCCCAUCAGAACACACAGCAACUUCAAGGAGGAUGAGGAUGCUGAAGAGCCUCACCUCACCUGUUGUGACCUUUGUUUGUCAUGCUGCAAAUUCCUAUAGACAAGUGAAGGAUGCCCAGAGAACAUCCUCCAGGGAACACACCCUCUCCAUAGCAGCCCGUGAGCCUGCUGGGCUGAGCCCUCCACAGGCUGCUCUAAUGAGGGAGAGGCUGAGGUGCUGGUCCAGCUACCACAUGCAGGAUUCCAAGGCCAUGCACCAUGCUUUUGUCUGCAGUGCCACUGAAGCUCAUUUGAGGGGACCCAGCCAUGCCCUCCCAGACCCCUGAAGCCCACAGGGAGCAUCACCAAUUCAUCAUGAGCAGACAUUGGAGCUGACCAUGAACCCCCAAGUUUCAUGCUUCCUAGGAAAGGUGUGAGAGGGAGGGAGGCACCCCCAGGCUUUGCCAUGCCAGCAAGCAGCCCACCCAGCCCAGCACUGGACACCUGCAGGCACUCAGUAGGUCCUGGUGUCAAGUAGGUGAAAAGCCAGGAUCCAGAACCCCCUGGGGUGUGCCCAGUCCCAGCAGCCCCUCAGCCUCCAUGGAGCCCUGGGUUCUGGGGUGGCCUCCUGGUCCCAUUUCUCAAGAUGAGGUUGGAGGCUUCUGUGUGUAGAGAGCACUGACUUGGGAAUCGAUGGUUCUGUGUCUGUGUCUGAUGCCAACAAAAGAAACUGUAAGGCUGGUUGCCUUGCCGGGAGUCAAACUUACAUGUUCAUCACUCUCUGCACCUGAUAACUGCGUCAUCACCCCAACUCAUUAUCUGGCCUCACCACAUAGCUUCUCCUGCACCUGCCUCUGCAUACCAUACCCAAGCCCAUACUCAGCACUAAAUUAUGCAUCCAACCUCCAGCCCACUGUUAAAAAACCCUGCAGAAAAAUUUUUAAAGAAGCCCCACCAUACCAUACCCUGCCCAACAACAGCCUGCCCUGUACACCCCCGGCAGGCCCACUUACCCAAGGUCCCACCCACCUACCAAUGGCAGCUAGUUUCAUGUACUUCCGACUUUAACUCCAUGUACUUCCUGCUCCUCAGCAGCCAAUAGAAAUGCCUUCUCUUUGUUUCCCCAGUAGCCAAUCAAUUGCCUGCCCUCCCCAUAAAACCCCACACCCUGAACAGCCAGGUGUGACUUCUCCGGCCCCACCCUGGACCACAGAACCUUGCCUGGGAGCUGAAUAAAUUAGCUUCUCACUUCCUUAUACUUGCCUCAGUUUCCUCAUUUUACCUCUGCAAUAAAUCUUACAGAAACCUCUGAAGACAAGUCAGGGCAGUGGUCACUUGGGAGGAGUUGAGGAGCAUAAUUCAGGGUGCCACUGCUUUAAAUGUAUUUUCCUAUUUGAAAUUAACAUAUACAUAUGAACGUGUGUUUUAUACAUAUAUAUAUACACACAUAUAUAUAUAAUACACUACACACACACACACACACCCUGUUUUUUAUUCUUUAAAAAGUAGUGUUUUCUGUAAUCCUUUCAUGUUGGAAUGUAUUACGUGGGAAAUGUGUGUUUUGCUAAAGCAUAAUGAUUUCCUGAAUGAAAAUGCACAGACAGGGUUGGUGGGGUGUUGGAAGGACCAAGUAUUCUUAGGCCGUAAUGAUGACAUGCUCCAGGAAGCUGCACACAUUUAACGUGCAGUUCUUCCAUCUGGAUGGCAUGGAGGGUCCAGGGGGAGGGCAGGUCACCACCCCACUCUGUGUCAUCAGACCUCCUGCUCCUCUCAGGGCCUGAGGGCAUAGUACUCUGCCUGUGGAUCCUUGAGCCUCCCUCUCCUUCUGCAUCUGUUUCAGUAUCAGGGGUCCAGCUCCCUGAAGGUGCCUGUGUGCCUGCCUGGGCUCAGUGCCUCCUGUAGGACAUUUAUAGACACUCUCUGUACACAGGCAACCCCAUCACAGAGAGCAGCACGCAGGCCUCAGAGCCCUGUGGAUGGACUCUGGGGAGGCCAGGGGCCCAAGGUCACCUUCCAGGGCCCAAGGAGCCCUCUGAGACCUGCACACCCACCCCAGGGAGCCCCUCCUCCCUCCUCCUCUGUGCCCCCCAAUAACCCUCGCACCUCUGUCUGUGUUGCAGAUUUUUAUUUUUCUCGUGUGUGUGUGUGUGUGUGUGUGCAACAUGACUGUUUAUUCACCUGGGUUCAGGGGAGCUAAGACUGAAAAGGGUGUAGGAGUUGGUUUUAUAGGUUUGUGGUAAACAGUGGAAAGUUACAGAAGUAAGUUUAGGGCAGUUCUUUGUAAGUUGGGAGGGAUUGUAGGGUGUGGAGGUUGACCAAGGUCGGUUACAAAGUCCAAUGGCCUUGUCAACUGGGGCAGGAAUAUGGAACAAUAGAGAAGUCUUGAAGGUAAGGUCUCAGGGUUUGAUAAUUUCUUCCUCUUUUCAUGGUCUUCCUAUUACUUUAGAUUUUCCAGCAACUAAUCUGGAGUGUUCGUGCAGGUUGCAGAGUUUAACAUGGCAUCUAUGGGGCCGUCCUGUCUUUUUCCUCUGCAGUAAGAGUUAUUGGAAGCUCGGCGUGCGUGAUGGUCCAGGGGGCCUCGGAGAUGUUCGGGCAGCGUCAGUCUUCACCCGCCAAGCCAAUUCGGGUCUGGGAGCUUUGGGAACAGUGACAGGAGUAGGACAGUCCGACUCUCCAUGGGGACCCUGCACAGAAGGGGCAGGGCUUAGGAGGAAUUUCGGGCUGCAGGCAUUCCUUGGCCCAGUGGCCAGGUUUCUGACACUUGAAGCAAGGUCUGGGCACUUUGAAAUCUUUGUGAGCUGGUGGUGUGGCUGAGGUUUGUCUUAUAGCAGAGGCGGCAUCUGUAGUUCUGAGAUGCACGGCCUCCCACAGACCCUUCCCUAUUAUUGACCACCUUAAAGGUGAGGUUGGUUAAUUCUUGUUGUGGAGUUUGAGGGACAGAUCCUAAUUUCUGUAGCUUUUUUAAUGUUAGGGGCUGACUGGGUGAUAAAAUGCAUAUUAAACAUUCGCUAGGGGUGAGAGUAGAUGUAAAGAUGACAUUUAAGUUACUCCAGGUGAGGUUAUAGGACUGGGUUAAGUAUUGGAGAAUCUGAUGGAAAGGAGCCUAAACAGUGGCUGAUUUGGGAAAGGUUGGAUAAAGGGAAGGAACCUGCACCCUAACUAUGCCUUUGGCUCCAGCCACCUCUGGAAGCGUUGCAGAUUUUUCAAACAUCUGGAAGGGCCGAGACACAAGACCUCACCCUGGCCCAGCCACCAUCUGGAUCCUGAGAGUUUUGGGGAUUGUGCUACACUUUCUGGACUUUUAUAUUUUCUUGUUUAAUUUUUUAAAAAAUAUUCUUACUUUAGGCUGGGCAUGGUGGCUCACACUGGUAAUCCCAGCACUUUGGGAGGCCGAGGUGGGCAUAUCACUAGGUGAAGAGAUUCAGAUCAUUCUGGCCAAGACGGGGAAACCCCGUCUCUACAAAAAAUACUUAGCCAGGUGUGGUGGCGGGCACCUGUAGUCCCAGCUACUCAGGAGACUGAGGCAGGAGAAUCACUUGAACCCAGGAGGCAGAGGUUGCAGUGAAUCCAGAUUGUGCCAUUGCAUUCCAGCCUGGUGACAGAACUAGACUCCAUCUCAAAGAAAAAUUCUUACUUUAAUCUGCUUUUUGUAAGACACAAGCUGUCAUUGUGUCAUUGUAGCUUACAUUUUAUUCCUUAAGCGAUUGUUCAAUUGGGUUAUUAGUGUUUUGUGAUUUUUGUCCAAUUCUUCUGGAAUUUUUGUAAUUUUGAUAGAUGUUUUAUACUUUGUUUCUUUUCUUAAUGACUUUUACUUUAGUUUUUAAUGAAUACAUGGUACAGUAAGUUAUAGUAAGAGAUAGUAUUUUUAUCUAUCUCUUAAGUAAGAGAUAGUUUUUUGGUAGUUUAUACUCUGUCCACAUUUUAACAUAUGUAAGUGUCAAUGGCCAGGCAUGGUGGCUCACACCUGUAAUCCCAGCAUUUUGGGAGAAAAAAAAAAUAUAUAUAUAUAUAUAUAUAUGUAUAUAUACAUACACAGCACA